ACCACCCUUUAUGUGAGAACAUAUUAUUUAUGUGAGGACAAAUCUCAGCCAUUGGAUUGUAAUAAAUCCAAUAGCUGAGAUUAAUGAUAUAAACAUUCUUUAACAAACCUUCUCUAACAACCAUGCUUAACUGUUUCUAAGCUUCUGCUCUGCUCUCUCUCUCCAUCACGAAACUCCAAUCUCUGCUCUGCUCUCUCUCCACCACGAAGCUUCAAGAAUUUAUCAAUGGUGUCUUUUCAAACUCGACAAUUUCUCUCUCCUCUUCUUGUUCACGGGUAUCAAUUUCCAUAAAUUAUUGAGGUUUAUACUUGAAUCAUAUACUUGUGAUCAACAUGGCAGGAAGAGUUGCUGCAAGAUAUGUAUCUAAGAGGUUUUCAAGUGGUGGCAAGAUUCUAGGUGAGGAGGAAAAGGCUGCAGAGAAUGUCUACGUCAAGAAAAUGGAAAAGGAAAAGCUGGAAAAGGUUGCUCGUCAAGUUUGCAGAUUGCGCCCUUUAUCUGUUUAAAUUCAUUUCUAAUGUGGGUAUUAUGAAUGCCCAGUCUAAGUAAUUGGGAUUGAGACAGCAGGGUUGGUGACAGUGUCUCUUUUUUAUGUGAUAACCUGCUUUUACUUCUGGUCCCUCCUCUCUCUGUAUGAUUCCCCCAUUAUAAUUCUUAAAUGGAACUAAAAUAAACUGUGGUUAUG